AAAAUCCAGUAGUUCUUCUAAUCCAAAAUGGGAUGAACAGCUAACUGUAAAUGUUACGCCACAGACUACAUUGGAAUUUCGAGUUUGGAGCCAUCACACUUUAAAAGCAGAUGCUUUAUUAGGAAAAGCAACGAUAGAUUUGAAACAAGCUCUGUUGAUACACAAUAGAAAAUUGGAAAGAGUGAAAGAACAAUUAAAACUUUCCUUGGAAAACAAGAAUGGCAUAGCACAAACUGGUGAAUUGACAGUUGUGCUUGAUGGAUUGGUGAUUGAGCAAGAAAAUAUAACAAACUGCAGCUCAUCUCCAACCAUAGAAAUACAGCAAAAUGGUGACGCCUUACAUGAAAAUGGAGAGCCUUCAGCAAGGACAACUGCCAGUUAAUGGAGAAUCAUCCUCAUUUGCACCAACUGAUAAUGCGUCUGUCACGGGUACUCCAGUGGUGUCUGAAGAAAAUGCCUUGUCUCCAAAUUGCACUAGUACUACUGUUGAAGAUCCUCCAGUUCAAGAAAUACUGACUUCCUCAGAAAACAAUGAAUGUAUUCCUUCUACCAGUGCAGAAUUGGGAUCUGAAGCUAGAAGUAUGUUAGAGCCUGACACCUCUAAUUCUAGAAGUAGUUCUGCUUUUGAAGCAGCCAAAUCAAGACAGCCAGAUGGGUGUAUGGAUCCUGUACGGCAGCAGUCUGGGAAUGCCAACACAGAAACCUUGCCAUCAGGGUGGGAACAAAGAAAAGAUCCUCAUGGUAGAACCUAUUAUGUGGAUCAUAAUACUCGAACUACCACAUGGGAGAGACCACAACCUUUACCUCCAGGUUGGGAAAGAAGAGUUGAUGAUCGUGGAAGAGUUUAUUAUGUGGAUCAUAACACCAGAACAACAACGUGGCAGCGGCCUACCAUGGAAUCUGUCCGAAAUUUUGAACAGUGGCAAUCUCAGCGGAACCAAUUGCAGGGAGCUAUGCAACAGUUUAACCAACGAUACCUCUAUUCGGCUUCGAUGUUAGCUGCAGAAAAUGACCCUUAUGGACCUUUGCCACCAGGCUGGGAAAAAAGAGUGGAUUCAACAGACAGGGUUUACUUUGUGAAUCAUAACACAAAAACAACCCAGUGGGAAGAUCCAAGAACUCAAGGCUUACAGAAUGAAGAACCCCUGCCAGAAGGCUGGGAAAUUAGAUAUACUCGUGAAGGUGUAAGGUACUUUGUUGAUCAUAACACAAGAACAACAACAUUCAAAGAUCCUCGCAAUGGGAAGUCAUCUGUAACUAAAGGUGGUCCACAAAUUGCUUAUGAACGCAGUUUUAGGUGGAAACUUGCUCACUUCCGUUAUUUGUGCCAGUCUAAUGCACUACCCAGUCAUGUAAAGAUCAAUGUGUCCCGGCAGACAUUGUUUGAAGAUUCCUUCCAACAGAUUAUGGCAUUAAAACCCUAUGACUUGAGGAGGCGCUUAUAUGUAAUAUUUAGAGGAGAAGAAGGACUUGAUUAUGGUGGCCUAGCGAGAGAAUGGUUUUUCUUGCUUUCACAUGAAGUUUUGAACCCAAUGUAUUGCUUAUUUGAGUAUGCGGGCAAGAACAACUAUUGUCUGCAGAUAAAUCCAGCAUCAACCAUUAAUCCAGACCAUCUUUCAUACUUCUGUUUCAUUGGUCGUUUUAUUGCCAUGGCACUAUUUCAUGGAAAGUUUAUCGAUACUGGUUUCUCUUUACCAUUCUACAAGCGUAUGUUAAGUAAAAAACUUACUAUUAAGGAUUUGGAAUCUAUUGAUACUGAAUUUUAUAACUCCCUUAUCUGGAUAAGGUUUGAAGAUUUUGUUUUGCAAAAGUCAUUUUUUUGAAACCCAUUUUGUUUCAUUUUGUUAAUUAGUGUAUAUAUAUUUAUUUCACCCAGAGAUAACAACAUUGAAGAAUGUGGCUUAGAAAUGUACUUUUCUGUUGACAUGGAGAUUUUGGGAAAAGUUACUUCACAUGACCUGAAGUUGGGAGGUUCCAAUAUUCUGGUGACUGAGGAGAACA
rnacentral:sRNA from 1 species